CGACCACAUCAUGUUCAAACACCGGUUCCCGUACGAUCACCAAAGUUAAGCAGCUUCGAGCUUGGUCGAUACUUAGAUGGGUGACCCUUGGGAAUUCCAGGUGCUGUAA